UUUCAGCCUCACCAGCUCCUUCCUUCCUUUUAUCUGCCACUGGCCUGCCAUGUGUUGAUGGAUAAGUCACUUUCCCCUGUGAGUCUCCUUUACUAGGGGUAGGGAGGAAUUUCAGCCAGAGGGCUGCAUUCUCUUCUAUGAAACCUUAUGAGGGCCACAUGGGGCCUGAGCAUUAACAGUAAACUUUAUGUUUGUACAGCCUGGACAAUGAGGUCCAGCUCUGAGGGCCUUCUGAUUGUUCCCUCACUGUGAGAAGUGAAGUUACAGAGAACCAGGCAGAGGGCUUAUAUGACUUUUAGAAGACAUCUGAAUGAACCUUUAAUGCUUGAUGUCUUACUGUGUUUUUAUAAUUUGUUGGAAGCCGCCCAGAGUGGCUGGGUCAACCCAGUCAGAUGGGUAGGAUACAAAUAAAAAGUAUUAUUAUUAUUAUUAUUAUUUAUUUGGCUAGUUUACCUAAACACAAACCUCUAUCUUCCAUCUAGAUAAGCAAGAGACAUUAUCAGAGUUCAAGGACAUAUUCUGGUCAGACAAAAACAUUUGGGCUAUGAGACAGGACCAGUGAGGUGAGUCACCUGAGGAGAAAUCUGAGGGCCAAAAAGAGAGAGGCUUUGGAGGGCCACAUUUGGACCCCAGGCCUGAGUUUCUCUAUUCGUACUCUGUACACAUAUACUAAAAAUACCAGCACCUGGCAUUGAAUACUGAGACCAUGUUGCAAUAGGGGGACGCUGCGAGAAAGUGUGUGCUUUUGUGAACACCUCACAGGGAGAUCCCAAAGCCAGGAGAGUAAUUGAGACAAGCCAUUUGAGAGCUUUAAGCUAAUGGACUAAAUUCCAACAUUAUUCUGAAAGUGCCAGGAAUGGGCUAAGCUUGAAAGAAUGCUGGCAAAUACUUGACAUUUUCGCAGCACCCAAACUGCCUGCCCUUACAGGGCGCCAUGGGAGCAGGAAAGACUUAAAAUGGAAUUGGCAUUGCUGAGAGCUAUCCACUUGCCUCAGCAAGGAGGAAUGCUAACCCAUUUCAGUUCAGGGAAUAAGAGAUUUGGUGGGAAUGGUAGGAAGGAGGGGCAGCAACAAGGGGAGGGGGAUAAUGCAAAAACUUUUGUAGAGCAAUUUAGAACUUAAGCGGGUGGCCCAAACACAAGCCCCGCAGCUGACGUCAGGGGCUACAACCCCGACUUAAUAAUAAAUAGGUUUGCCUUCUCUUUAUUACAUGGCUGACAUUCUUCUCAUACAGUGGCUUCUGAUAGCUUCAGAACAACCAGCCAGGCAGGGACUCCUGCAGGGGUCAGUUGUGCCAUGGAUAAUUAAUACUGUUUGACCUUGCAUAGAGCCAGUUUACUUGUUUGAGAGCACCGGGCCUUUGCAAACAUAUCUCAGAAGUAGACACAGUAUAUAAAUGUAAUGAAUGUGCUGCUGUAAACAUUAUAAAUUAAACAGACUGGAGUCAAGUGUGGGCAAAGGAACUUGACUCUUAUCAUGAUCUAUAAAAUGGCUGCUUCUCUAAGUUCCUGUUUCUUGCUUGGUGUUCCCCAGAACGGCUUCCCUCACUACAACCACACAUGGAACACUUUAGUUCCACUUAUCAGCUGCUGUCAUCAGAAGGAAGAGGCCCUCUAAUGGACAUUUUUCAUUAUCAGUCCCCAGAUCCUUCAUCAAUCACCUCCUACAAAUGUUUAUUAUAUUUAGUUAAAUUUCAUGAAGAAUGAAAUUCAUGAAGAAUGAAACCUUGUUUUCAUGUUCUUUCUUUCCUUCUUUCAUGUCUGUCUGUCACUGUGGGCAGGAACUGUGACCAUUGGUCCACCUAGUUCAGUAUCACAUACAGUGACUGGUAGCUGCUCUUCAGGGUUUCAAACAGGAGUGUUUGCUCAGCUCCACCUGGAGAUAUUGGGAACUGAAUUUGGGACCCUUUGUAUAUGGACUAUGUGCUCUACCACUGAGCUAUGACUAUACCCCUGACAGAUAUACACAGAAGGAAGUACUAUUGGUUUCAGUGGAAACCACUUCCACUUAAUGAUUUACCCUUGUCUAUGCCUGAAGGAAGGCGCAGCUUCUUUCAGGGCCUCAUUCAGCAGCAACAACAACAAACUUUGGGAAACACAUUCAUUCUUCACCUCAGUUGUUGAGGAGUGGGUUUACAUUUUAAAAUAUUUCAUUCAUGAGUAAGUGUUAGGAAAAUAUGCAAUUUUGGUAAGAACACCAAUAUUUUUCUCUCUCUUCCCUACCCCCAUUUACAUGGAUGUUUAUUUGGGUUGCAACCUGGUGGUCCUAAAGUUUAUCAUGUAAUGAUCCCUUUUGCUAUCACUGACUGUUUUGAAGAGUUAAACACCAUAUACUGUAGGACGGUCCUUAAGUGCCUGUAGGAGGAGCUGUCUUUCAGCACUUAGUACCAUGUGUGGAAUAAUCAUCAGGAGCGGAGGAGGGGAAUGUGUAGCCACAGAAUUCAUUUCCUGGCAGAAAUGAGGAAGGCAGCAUGAAAUGACUGGCAGUAUCUAGCUGACUGUGAAGUUACUAAAUAGACUGUUGGGAUCCCUGCACUUGGUUGGGAAGCCCCAAGCCAUUUAGAGAUGGUAAAACAAUAUCACAGUAGCCCUCUUGAGACUUGUCUUAAGAUGAAGACUUAUGCAAUAUUCGUAGGCUGUUUGAGUUGGGGAAAGACGGCUGGUUUCAAAAGUGCCCUCUUACCACAUUAAAUACAAAUAUACUUUUUGUCCCAGAGCAAUCUCAAAAAAAAAAAAAAAAGUCCCUCUACAUUUCCAGCACAGUCAGUUUGGACAGGUAAAGCUAGUUUGGAAGGUUACCCAUUGGCUAGUAUCAAUGAUGUCACUGACACAUUACUCUCAGUAGCAUUUUUUUCAACUGUUUUUAAAAAUAGUUGUUCAGGUUUUGGUACAAAGGGUGAAAAUAUAAGAAAAAAGAGCCCCACCUCCCACACAAAGGUGAGCAUGAGGGACAUGGCAGAGCUGCAACUGAUUUAGUAUAUGUUUGCUAGAACAUAUGCCUAUAGUGUGUUAUGAGAGCAGGAUCACACCACAAGUGAUGCCUCUUCAAUCUUUUGCUUAUCUUCAGGAUUUAUUUGCAGCUAGAGACCAAGCAAAAUGUUGAAUAACAGGCAAAAAGCAUGAAUGCCUGUAUUCGCAUUAAGAACAUAGCUUAAAAAUCUUGAUCUGAAAGUAAUGCUAGGUUUUUUGGUUUGUAAGUUUUUCAAUAACUUCUUUUUAUUGAACUGAAGUUAAAAGCAAGAUGUUAAAAUCGUAUCAAAACUCAAAUAACAUUGGUGGAACCCAUCUUAACAUGCCAGGCGCAGGAAAACUCAGGCCUAGGAACCAAAUGUAGCCCUCCAGACCUCCCCAUCUGGCCCUUGGCGCACUCCCCCAGGCUGCACCCCUCCUGUUUCGCACACCAAGUCUUUGUACCUGAUUAGAAUGUGUCCCUGAAUUUUUGCUUGUCUGGAUGGAGAAUGGAGAGGCCUAUGCAGGAACCAGCCUACUGCAAUUUGUUCCUCCGCCAACCUUUGCCUCUGGAUCUGCCCACAAUUGCUAUGUGGCCCUCAGGAGGUUGGCCAAAAGAGAAUGUGGCCCUUUGGGCUGAAAGAGAUUCCCCACCCCUGCAAUAUGUGAUAGGGAUUAAAAGGCCUAGGACUUUUCACUUGCCUAGCAACUAAUUGAAUAAAGUUGGCCAAGUGUGCUCCACAGAUAGCAAUGAUUAGCUGUUACACAAAGUGGGGUUUCUUUUGACAGCCAAGAGGCUAUGGCUGAAAUGGAAUGAGAGGCAGCUCGAUUCACAAAGAACAAAUAAUAAAAACGAUUCCUUGGAAUUGAUUCUAAGAUCUUUUGAAGUAUGAUCAAAUUUGUGUCCUUUAAAUUUGCAGUGGCAGUAAGCAUGGUUUCAGCAUCUACCCUGAAGAUGACACAGGAUAUAAUUAUAAAUUGCCCCUCCCUGCUAUUGAAGCCCCAGUAGCAAUACCAAGGGGCUUCUAAAUAACAGAUCAGCUUCCGAGCAAAGCCACAGACAGGCAUGGAAGGGCGACUACUGUUCUGUGACUCAUUCCGAGAUUCCAUCUGUCCGCCCUGCCUUUGGCAAUUUGUUAUUCCCAUUAAGGAGCGCAGUCUUCCUUUCCCAAUGGAGUUAACUGCAAGCCUGAGGUCAGAAGUGUGUUCUUAUAAUAAGUGGUCUGAAAACUGUAACAGGCAGAAUUCAACAGGCUGUAUUCAGCCCUUCCUCCCAAAGGAGACUAUGGCGGUAGUGUAUUGAUGCUGAUCAUUUAUGUUGAUUUUAAUGUUUAUUGUAUACGUGAUUUUGGUUUUAUUGCCUUUUAUUGUUGUGUUUUUACAGUGUUGUACUCAAGGGAUCUUGCGAUGAAUGGCGGGUUGGAAAAACCAUAAACACACAAAAAGCAUCAUGCUGCUGAGGUUCUCUUCGCAUCUGGAAUGUGACAGGAUCAGAUUUUUUCUCUGUCUCUAAAUCAUAGAGGUCACCUGAUUGUGUGUUUGUGUGUGUCCAAAAUCAAGGCAAGAUAGUGGGUUGUGGAAUCAAUACAUUUAUGAGACUGUUUUCAUCUGUCUCUCAUACAGAUAUAGCAGUGAGUAGAACGAGGUCUUGAUGCUGGGGCCACCUGUAGAUAAACAUGAAUUAGAAGGGGAUAGACCUGGAAAGUAAGUUUUUCAGAGUCCAGGCCGAUCCAGGUCUCACCACCACUCAGUAGAUUUGUUCUCUGAUGCUAGUUAUGUUUCUUUAUUUGGAGUAUUUACUUACCUGGGAACCUCUAUGGUUUUUGCUGAGCACCAUUAGCAGUUAUAUUGUUAGAGGUGAAAAACACACUCUGAUUCUCAGACAUGGUGACUGUGUGCCUCCUCUUUUACAUACCCAGAUUCAGCACUUCCCCAGGUUUGGAACGGUUUCCCUCCUUGUCUAUGUGGAUAAGCCAUUAAAGAGACAGAUGAUUCCUGCUGGGCAGAAGUAAACCCUGCGGUCACGAGAAACGGUUCUCUGGUUACGUCUAGGCAGGUGGAUAGACUGUCUAGCCAAAUGUAAACACAGCCCAUGUUUUCAUUUUCUGCUAACACCUGAGAAUGAGUACUCCCACACAACUGAAAACCCCUAGGAGGUCCAGAGGAGCCGGAAUCCAAGGCAGCUACUGCCAAAGAAAGUCAAAAGACAGGAUAACCGAGGGGGGAAAAAGUGGGGGGCAGAUAUCCUUUGCUGUCAAUUACUGUUAUAGGAGUGUUGGAGCUGAAGAAGCACCUUUCACCCAUCCAAAGGACGAUCAGCUCCCCUUGACUGUAAACCACCAUCUGAGAAAACACUGCCGAAAGGCCUGUUAUGAAAAAAUAAACCUCAUAUGCUGCUCCUUGUAACUCCGAACCAAGGCAA